rnacentral:lncRNA from 1 species
CGCUGGGUCCCCUUCCACACUGUGGAAGUUUUGUUCUUUCACUCUUUGCAAUAAAUCUUGCUGCUGCACACUCUUUGGGUCCACACUGCUUUUAUGAGCUGUAACACUCACCGCGAAGGUCCGCAGCUUCACUCCUGAAGCCAGCGAGACCACGAGCCCACCGGGAGGAACGAAUGACUCCAGAGGCGCCGCCUUAAGAGCUGUAACACUCACUGCCAAGGUCUGCAGCUUCACUGCUAAGCCAGCGAGACCACAAACCCACCAGAAGGAAGAAACUCCGAACACAUCUGAACAUCAGAAGGAACAAACUACAGACGCGCCACCUUAAGAGUUGUAACACUCACCGCGAGGGUCUGCAGCUUCAUUCUGGAAGUCAGUGAGGCCAAGAACCCACCAAUUCCGGACACACUGUUGCUUAAGAUAAGACGGAGUCUCGCUCUGUCACCCAGGCAGGAGUGCAAUGGUGCGGUCUCGGCUCACUGCAACCUCUGCCUCCCUGGUUCAAGUGAUUCUCCUGCCUCAGCCUCCCAAGUAGCUGGGAUUACAGGCAUGCGCCACCACGCCUGGCUAAUUUUUGUACUUUUAGUAAAGACGGGGUUUCACCAUGUUGGCCAGGCUGGUCUCGAACUUCUGACCUCGCGAUCCACCCGCCUCGGCCUCCCAGAGCACUGGAAUUACAGGGGUGAGCCACCGCACCCAGCCACUCAUGAUCUUAUUUCAGUCUAGACUAACCUUAUCCAUCUUCUCAUGUAAAAAUGCCACUCUGCUCAAAUGUCUGUUCCUCCAGCAAAUUUCAUCACUCCUGGUCCAUCACACAUCCUGAUAAUCAGCCAGCAUCCAUUUAUCUGUGUCUCUUUCUGUCUCUUACAGGAGUAAUAGAUGCAUGUGUUUUAUUCUUCAUUUAAGGAAGGAUCUGUUUCUACUUUUUAAAAACAGCCUUUAUUAAGAGCUCAGUGCCAUUCAUAAAUAUCAUCUUAUUUCAUCCUAACAAUGGUAGGUACUAUAACUUAGAGGCUAGUAUCCAAAUUUCCACAUAAGGAAAUUAGCUCAAAAGGUUAAAUGACUUCCUCAAGAUUAUACAACUAGCAAGUUGUAUCCUAAACAUCAAAGUCAGAUUUUGAAACAAACUCUUCAACCCAACUACUAUGCAUUUCUCAUUUCUAUCACUAAGAGAAAGACUCCACCACCAAGUUUAUAGAGAAUAGGUACACAAUAAGUAUGUGUUUAAUAAAUAGCUUCUAUCUUGCUUUUGCUAUAUUUCUGUGACUACAUGUUUACACUUGAGUAAACACACUCAUACAUUGUGUAGAUGUACAUAUACAGUGCACAAUUUUCAAUGUAUGUGUUCCAAAUGUUUAAUUGUAACUCAAUUAUUUGAGAUGCAAAACACAUUUUCUACAAUGUCACAUAAAGAGGGUAUGAUAUUACAUAUACCACUGAAGGCCUGCUAAACACAAAAAGUAUCACAAAACAGGUAGCCACCAAAUAUGCAAUGUUUUAUUUGAGCAUAUAUUCCUAGUAUGGUUUUCUGUUGAGCCAGGAGCCCACACUUUCCAUUGUCUGACUACCCCAGCUUAUGAGGAUGUGAGGAUAAGAACCUUCCCAGGUGUGUAAAUGCUCCAGAUAUAUUACAGGCCAUAACUGCAUGUUGACAGGGACCAUAAAUACAUGUGGUACAUGAUGAGUAUGAUACGUGACACCUGUCAUGUAAGCUCUAAGAAAGCAGAGAUUCUUGUUUUGUUCAUUUAUGUAUCCCAAAUCUCUAGAACAGUGCCUGAGACUUAACAGUGUCACUUAGUAGGCACUUAAUACUAAAUAUUUUUAAAUAAUAAAAAUGAACACUUUAUGGACCUUGUUAGCAGCUUCUUCCCUUUUUACAUUACCAGAAAAAAUGGCAGUAACUAAAACACUGGAUGUGGUAAUUUCCAAAUGAAGUCUUAAAAAUCUGAGUGCAGUGGCAUGUACCUGUAGUCCCAGCUACUUUUGAGGCUGAGACAGGAGGAUCACUUGAGCCCAGGAAUUCGAAGCCAGCCUAGGCAACAAAGCGAGACCUAAGAGUAUUCAGACCCACUCACAUGCAGGCAUAAUCUUGACUCCACUGUAUAAGGAAGAAUGAGUAAAUGACAAAAUUCUAAAAGAGAUCAUUAAAGUGGCUUCAAGAAUGGAACACUGGACCCAGAUAACAAAAGGCUUUAAAAAUGACAUGAUUUGGUCUAGUUGAGAGCUGACCUAGAACAUGUAUUGAAUCUGUGAGUCAUUUUUACACAGAGGUGGCUGACCAUGUGAGCCUUGUCCCUACUGGGAACAGAACACAGAGUUCUAGACUGAAGUUACCAGAUGGGAAUGGAAAAGACAGAUUUAAGUUAAAUGGAAGAAUAUAUUUUGAGGUGGAGCGUAUGGCCUUACAGAGAUUUAGGUUACCAAGGUAAAUUGUGAAAUUUGAAGAAUAGCAGAAAUGCUCUUUUUGAAUUGUUUAAACAUCACACACACUAGAGGCAGGG